UGGGGAAUAUUGCACAAUGGGCGCAAGCCUGAUGCAGCCAUGCCGCGUGUGUGAAGAAGGCCUUCGGGUUGUAAAGCACUUUCAGCGAGGAGGAAGGUGGUGAACUUAAUACGUUCAUCAAUUGACGUUACUCGCAGAAGAAGCACCGGCUAACUCUGUGCCAGCAGCCGCGGUAAUACGGAGGGUGCAAGCGUUAAUCGGAAUUACUGGGCGUAAAGCGCACGCAGGCGGUUUGUUAAGUCAGAUGUGAAAUCCCCGGGCUCAACCUGGGAACUGCAUUUGAAACUGGCAAGCUAGAGUCUCGUAGAGGGGGGUAGAAUUCCAGGUGUAGCGGUGAAAUGCGUAGAGAUCUGGAGGAAUACCGGUGGCGAAGGCGGCCCCCCUGGACGAAGACUGACGCUCAGGUGCGAAAGCGUGGGGCAGCAAACAGGAUUAGAUACCCUGGUAGUCCACGCUGUAAACGAUGUCGAUUUGGAGGUUGUGCCCCUUGAGGCGUGGCUUCCGGAGCUAACGCGUUAAAUCGACCGCCUGGGGAGUACGGCCGCAAGGUUAAAACUUAAAGGAAUUG
rnacentral:rRNA from 1 species